GUGCCAGCAGCCGCGGUAAUACCGGCAGCUCAAGUGAUGGCCACUCUUAUUGGGCCUAAAGCGUCCGUAGCUGGCCGACCAAGUCUCCCGGGAAAUCCACCCGCCCAACGGGUGGGCGUCCGGUAGAAACUGGCCGGCUUGGAACCGGAAGGCUCAGAGAGUACGUCCGGGGUAGGAGUGAAAUCCCGUAAUCCCGGACGGACUACCGAUGGCGAAAGCACUUCGAGAAAACGGAUCCGACAGUGAGGGACGAAAGCCAGGGUCUCCAACCGGAUUAGAAACCCGGGUAGUCC
rnacentral:rRNA from 1 species